rnacentral:rRNA from 1 species
GAUGAACGCUAGCGGCAGGCUUAACACAUGCAAGUCGUGGGGCAGCGCGGACUUCGGUCUGGCGGCGACCGGCAAACGGGUGCGGAACACGUACGCAACCUCCCUCAGAGCGGGGAAUAGCCUCUCGAAAGAGAGAUUAAUACCCCAUAGUAUCUUGAAGACACAUGUCUAUGAGAUUAAAGCUUCGGCACUUUGAGAUGGGCGUGCGGCUGAUUAGGUAGUUGGUAGGGUAACGGCCUACCAAGCCGACGAUCAGUAGCUGAUGUGAGAGCAUGAUCAGCCACACGGGCACUGAGACACGGGCCCGACUCCUACGGGAGGCAGCAGUGAGGAAUAUUGGUCAAUGGAGGAAACUCUGAACCAGCCAUGCCGCGUGGAGGAUGAAGGUCCUCUGGAUUGUAAACUCCUUUUAUAAAAGAAGAAACCCCAUUUUUCUAAAUGGGUUGACGGUACUUUAUGAAUAAGCACCGGCUAACUCCGUGCCAGCAGCCGCGG